CAUGUCCAAGACGCUAUAAACAUGAAAACUAAUUUGAAUAUUCUCUCGUCCCCUUUCCCAGGGUCUACAAACUACUGAAGAAAUCUGUGGGGACGAGAUUCAUCGCCACAGCCUCGUUUUUUGUCAGCAUACCGUUGUUGUUUGUCGCCAUCGGCCUGUUCAUGGUGCUGCAGACUCACUCCUUCCCGUCCAUCCUGGGGCUGUGCAUCCUGGGAGCCGGCCUGCUGUUCGUCAGUUUCGUGGUAGUGAUGAGUUGUUACACGUGGGACAGGGAGACAGGAGCCUCCAAAUACGGCAGCUACACGUUAGACACUGGCGGGAACAAACGCCUGGACUCUCAGAGCAGCGAACUUUCCACACUCGUAUAACAUACGUUGGAGUUGUUGUUGGACCAAGUUGUAGUCAAGUGUUUUCUUCCCGAUGAUUCUUCCCUUGAUGGAAAUUGGAGACGUCACAUACUAGUAUAUGAGUGAACUGUAUGGGUUUUGACACUCCCGGAGACUGGACCUGGACGAAUAGACCAUUUUGCUCACUGAGAGACAACUACUGCAGCACAAGAACGACCUCUAGCGGCUCUGUACCACUACACCCUGUACGACACAACGCCGUACCUGACCAAUACGUCAUGGACAACACCUCAGCUUGUCGCCAAUCUUAACUUCAAUAUACUGUACAUAGUAAAUUCGAACACUGUUAUUACUAGGCAAGAGCAGGGAAGUUAUAUUCAACCUCCUUCAAUGGCAAGAGGGAACCCGUAUUAAAUAGAAAUGCACUCCGCUCGCUGACUGCCUCCUCAGGUGUAGUAUAAAUCAUCAUCACUAGAUGUCUCUUCCAAACCGAGAGCAGCCUGACACUGUUGACGUGAACGAUGUCAGCAAACUCGGACCUACCUACACUCCUGGGCUCAAUAUUUUACGUUUCAUGGUAUUAAGAUUAUAUGUUGCAAAAAUUAUUACAUUUAUAAAGAGAUGCAUUUUUUCUGACUGAAACAAAAACUCUUUUUGGGGGGAGUUUUAUCAGUUAAAUUGGAUUAUUGUAAAUAUAGCAGAUGAGUAAAAGUUUAAGAUUGUUACUAAAUGUAACGUCCUUUCUUGGUCUUGGUCGCAACAAGAUAAUGCGAUAAAACAGAUACAAUUGUACAUAUUACACCUUUGAAUCUGUUUUCUGUCAACUUGAAUAAAAAGUUUUACCA